CCGUGGUGCUGGAGAAGGGAGUGCGUCUCUCGGCUUUGUUUACCGUGGACAAUAGGGCCGAGCCGGACUUGGCUGCUCGCCACUGGCUGCGCCCCACUGCCGUGACGGCGAUGGACGGCCUCAUGGAAGCUACCAGAUACUCUUCAGCAGGCUCAUUAAGCCAGAAGCCUCUCACCAGCAUCUUAAGACCCCAUAAGGAGGGAAACUGGAGGAGGACAAGGCAACCCAUCCCAUUAGAGAUGAGAGGCUGUUUCACUGCUACCAUCCAAGAAAGGCACCCACAGCCUAAGCUGGAGACUUUAACCAAGCCCUGAGCAGCUCUACAAGCGUGAUGCAGUUCCACGCCCCCAGCCUCCACUUACAUCACCUCCACCUUCAGUUAACACACCACAAUCCCAAGAAAUAUUUGUGAGGGAAAUCAAAUGUCCAACACUUCACUGGCAUCAUAAGCUGUGACUUCCUACUGCACACAGACAACUGCAGAAGCAUGAGCAAAAAGGUGGGAAUAUGAAAUGGUAUUAAUGUCAGUUGCUUCAAGGUAACUGCUCCAAUUUUACAAAUACUGAAGUCUGCAAAGAAGAAAAGCCAAUCUGAUAUUUAAGUUCUCUAUGAUCUGCUUUUCACAUUCGACAGCUGAUGCUGAAUAAUGUGGGAUGAAAGAACCAUCAAUUUAAACUUAAAUCUUGUGAGGAUUUUCAGUCAGCUAAGUGCCUUCUGCUCGCUCAGAUUUAGAAGUACUAUUACAUACAGUAAAAGCUCUCAUAUCUGAUAGUCAAAAAAAUUGGCAAAAAUCUAAAACAUAAGGAUAAAAAUUAAAUAUUCAUAAUAAGUAAUGACACCUCUAUUAAACAUUUACAAACUUAAAAUAACAAAGAACAACAUUAAGCAAUACAUGUCAGUUCCGGCACAUUCCUACAGUGUGGCACGCUUUACAAGUCGGAUUACAGUAGUGUCACUGCAACAUGUUAAAAUAACAGUACAAUAAUCAUUAGCGUGUGCAUAAAAGAGUAACAAACCUGUUAUAAUCCGGUGUUUUUCAAGAGUAACAUUCAACUACCUGAAAAAUUCAGCUAUCUGGCAGCGCCUCAGUCCUGACUUGUCAUACGAGAACUUUUACAGUAUAAUCAUACCGUUUUCAUAUUUAACAAUUAGCCUGACACUAAUAGAAACCUCCACUCCUUUGACAAUUUUUAUUUUAUAGCUAUUUUGACGAUUAGCUAUUUAAAACUGAUGUACAUUACCCAUGCAGACAGUCAUGAAGUCCUAAUCUUAGCUUGAAACACUGACUAUGAAGCUAGUGUUUCAUACACUCCUUGUUUAAAGAGGGCUAUGACCUGUCCUCCCAGGCCAGACACACAAAUGCACCAAACACAUCCCCUUUUCAUGGAAGUGGAAUAAACUGUAGUGCCAUCAUUGAAAUUCUGUUGCAGGAAGCCGAUGAACACAACUAUUCAUUUGUAGGAAUGACGCAGACUGAUUUUCUCCAUGAAAUCAUCUUAAAAUCAGCAAAUGACAGGUAGUUAUCAGCAAGCCCCUAGAUUAAUGCAUAACUGACAAAUACUAACUGAUUACAUAGUAAAGCUGAACAGUAUCACAGCACAUCAAUUUCACAGCUCACAGUAACAUCAUCAUUCUAUAAAGACGUUCUCAAGUCAGGUAGACUUGACCUAACCCAUGUGUACCCCAUACUGUGGAAAGCAGUUACAUAUUUAAAACCCGUUUUACCACCUUCUGGAAUGUAAAACCAGAGAGGGUUUUCUUACAAUCAAGAUAUAGAUUAGGAAUACCUUAAGAAAGCAUCAUUCAGUCUAUUAUUACCUACGCUAUUAUCAAAUGCAUUCCUAUGCUGACAAACAUACACAAAAAAACAUGACAAACUCUGAAAAAAGGAAAUCAAAAUGUAUAACAUGGAAAAAAUAAUCUAAAUUUUGAGACCUAAAUGGGAAGUUGUCACAGCAAUUGAUGACCAAAUUAAACUAGAUAAAGUAGAUAUAAUUCACAAACAAAGAAAUAAAGUCCUGUAAUGACACUCCCUAGACUGGAAAUUGAAAGAUAUGGUUUCUAGACUAAAGCUAAACACAAAAUGAGUAAUUGUUUUUCCUGGAUUUUAUUUAAGUAGCUGGAACUUUUGCAUGACAUGUUUUAAGGCUUUCAACCAUCAGAACACAUAAUCAACCACAGAGCAUCGAAGUCUGUCAGUGUGCCAUAUGUUUCACUCAGUUCUGUGCUACCUCAUUAUUACCAGGGUCGUUAAGGUUACCGGUGUUCCUGAAUCUAGUUAAUGUCUUAACUCACUAAAGUAACAUAAAUGCACAUUACAAACUUUAAAAAGGUUAAGCCUUGUAAACCACUUCAAUUCCACGCUGUGGCCAAUGGCUUACGUUUUCACUUCAUAGCACAAUUAAAGAACAACUUUGCAGAAAAUUCUUGCACUAUAAGAUAGAUGGCUAGAAUAGGCUGUAAACCAGAUUUUUCCGAAAACAGUACGGUGUGCAGAGUACUGGUACAUCUUAAAACUUCAAACUGGCCACUGUUCUCUGCAGGCAAACGGUGAAGUCACUGAUUUGCUCAACUCAUACAACAACAAAGGAAAUACUGAUAUUGAAAUACUGACACAAUCAGACCUGACCAUUAAGUUUUAUAAAACACAGUGCCAAUUAUUCCAUACAUUACAACAAAAGCAGUGUAAUGUCAGUGCUUUUUUAAAUAAACAUGCAUCUAUUAGUAUCACAGGAUCAGGGCAUUAGGCAAGUCAGUAGAUGAUUGUACUGUUGAGCUUCAUAAGGGUUAACUAAUGUUAAUCACACGCAGGCCUCUGUACACGCGUUCAGAAGGCUGCUGACGUCGCCACGACGCUCUAAAGCAGGGCUGGCUCCUUCUUCAGGGAUCCUUCAUUCAACCAUCUGGAUUAAGCGAAUGGGAUCAAUUAGAAGGAACUGCAGCAGGGUACAAGCGGUCUGAAA